rnacentral:rRNA from 1 species
GACGAACGCUGGCGGCGUGCUUAACACAUGCGAGUCGUACGGAAAGGCCCUGCUUUUGUGGGGUGCUCGAGUGGCGAACGGGUGAGUAACACGUGAGUAACCUGCCCUUGACUUUGGGAUAACUUCAGGAAACUGGGGCUAAUACCGGAUAGGAGCUCCUGCUGCAUGGUGGGGGUUGGAAAGUUUCGGCGGUUGGGGAUGGACUCGCGGCUUAUCAGCUUGUUGGUGGGGUAGUGGCUUACCAAGGCUUUGACGGGUAGCCGGCCUGAGAGGGUGACCGGCCACAUUGGGACUGAGAUACGGCCCAGACUCCUACGGGAGGCAGCAGUGGGGAAUAUUGCACAAUGGGCGGAAGCCUGAUGCAGCAACGCCGCGUGCGGGAUGACGGCCUUCGGGUUGUAAACCGCUUUCGCCUGUGACGAAGCGUGAGUGACGGUAAUGGGUAAAGAAGCACCGGCUAACUACGUG